ACGAACCGUGCGAACGUUAUUCGGAAUCACUGGGCUUAAAGCGCGCGUAGGCGGGCCGGCACGUCGGAUGCUGAAAGCCCCCGGCUCAACCGGGGAAGUGGCACCGAUACGACCGGCCUGGAGUGGGGUAGGGGGAGCCGGAACUUCCGGUGGAGCGGUGAAAUGCGUAGAUAUCUGGAGGAACACCGGUGGCGAAAGCGGCUCACUGGACCCGAUCUGACACUGAGGUGCGAAAGCUAGGGUAGCAAACGGGA
rnacentral:rRNA from 1 species